rnacentral:rRNA from 1 species
GACAGCUGAAUGAUAGUCGGGCUGAAGACUCUGCUUGACUAGCUGAGAGGAGGUGCAUGGCCGUCGUCAGUUCGUACUGUGAAGCAUCCUGUUAAGUCAGGCAACGAGCGAGACCCACGCCAACAGUUGCCAGCAUGUCCUCCGGGAUGGUGGGGACACUGUUGGGACCGCCUCUGCUAAAGAGGAGGAAGGAAUGGGCAACGGUAGGUCAGCAUGCCCCGAAUUAUCCGGGCUACACGCGGGCUACAAUGGUCAGGACAAUGGGUAUCAACACCGAAAGGGGACGGAAAUCUCCUAAAACCAAUCUUAGUUCGGAUUGAGGGCUGCAACUCGCCCUCAUGAAGCUGGAAUCCGUAGUAAUCGCGUUUCAAAAUAGCGCGGUGAAUAUGUCCCUGCUCCUUGC